UCGUGUCCUGCUGGGGCCGGCGCUUCUCGAGGGGCGAGAACGGCUUCCUAUCCCUGCCCAGCUCCCCGGCUGUGGCUGGGACCCCGUCCUCGUCCCUGGUAAGGGGAGCGGCUCCCGCCCUGUGUAAGCAAAGGCCGGGCCGGGACAGAGUGAUUUGUCUCUAAAUGUCCAUUUCACCUUUCAGUUCCGCCGCCCCUGUGCUCGGAGUUGCUGUUUGCAGCUCUCCUACCUCAUAGUCAUACCGUAUACCUAGAAAAUGCCGCAGGUGUAAGAGCUGAGAAGCACGCUAUCUGUGUGCCUGUGGCUUUGGUGCAUGGAACAUUUUCAAGGAGUGGUGAAAACUGACCAGUUGUGAAACGUUCCUAAAAACCCAGCAGUGGAUAGCAGACUGCUCCUGCUGCAGGCUGGUGCCAUACACUUUGAUAACAGCUGCACAGUGGUGCCUCUCACAUGGAGUCACUACAGAGGGAGGUGAUUUACUGAAAACGAUGAAAGCUUUCAACUUUCCACCUCCUGAAGAUGUCUCUUAGACAAAGUGUUCUCAGGACAUUGACUUUGGUUCAUAAACUUCUGUGACAUCUGUGAUGGAGAGAAAUGUUGGCAUAAAUUUGCUUGCUUUGCAAACAAAGUGACUUCUGUUAUAAGUCCUUAAAAUGUCUUACUGAAAUUCUUCUGAAGCAUUUCUGAUACCUCACUGGUUUAAAUGUCUAGUCUGCUCUCACAAAUUAACAGGACUUCAUCAGUCAUCUUGAUGAUGAUGACCAGGGUGAUUACAUGCCAAGAAUUCUGAAUUCUGGUGGGCAUCAGGGGAGUUGGUGAUCUCUUUCUCUUCAGUGGUGUCUCAUCUUUUGACAGUGUCACAAUUAAUCCUUCAAAUGGGGCUGCUUUGAAAGCAAAGGCAUGUUCAGGUAGGCUGCUUUGGAGUCUGUGAGUGCAAAAUAGAAGAUGCAUCAGUCAUCUCUGUAUGUGAGAAGGUGAAAGUAUGUUUAGAAAGCUUGAUGUUUCAGAGGAAUAAUAAAGUAAAAAAAACCCAGUAUUUGUAAUGAAAAGAAGUUCUAAAUGUCAGGAUGUUACCUCAAUGUGUAACCGUGCAGCAAUAUCUGCUUCUCGAGCCUCUUUUUAAAAUCUGGUACAGAUAAAACAUCCUGGAGUUAACUUCUUUCUUAUUUUAAUCUGUUCAAUUUCUUAAUAA